rnacentral:rRNA from 1 species
AAUCAACGCUGGCGGCGUGCCUCAGACAUGCAAGUCGAACGCGAAAGUCCCCUUCGGGGGAUGAUUAGAGUGGCGCACGGGUGAGUAACACGUAGGUAAUCUACCUUCGAGUGGGGAAUAACUCAGGGAAACUUGAGCUAAUACCGCAUAAUGCAGCGGCACCACAUGGUGACAGUUGUUAAAGCAUUUAUGCGCUUGAAGAGGAGCCUGCGGCAGAUUAGCUAGUUGGUAAGGUAAUGGCUUACCAAGGCUACGAUCUGUAACCGGCCUGAGAGGGCGGACGGUCACACUGACACUGAAUAACGGGUCAGACUCCUACGGGAGGCAGCAGUC